AACGAACGCUGGCGGCAUGCCUAACACAUGCAAGUCGAACGAGACCUUCGGGUCUAGUGGCGCACGGGUGCGUAACGCGUGGGAACCUGCCUUUAGGUUCGGAAUAACUCAGAGAAAUUUGAGCUAAUACCGGAUAAUGUCUUCGGACCAAAGAUUUAUCGCCUUUAGAUGGGCCCGCGUAAGAUUAGCUAGUUGGUGGGGUAAAGCCUACCAAGGCGACGAUCUUUAGCUGGUCUGAGAGGAUGAUCAGCCACACUGGGACUGAGACACGGCCCAGACUCCUACGGGAGGCAGCAGUGGGGAAUAUUGGACAAUGGGCGAAAGCCUGAUCCAGCAAUGCCGCGUGAGUGAUGAAGGCCUUAGGGUUGUAAAAGCUCUUUUACCCGAGAUGAUAAUGACAGUACCUGAAGAAUAAGCACCGGCUAACUACGUGCCAGCAGCCGCGGU
rnacentral:rRNA from 1 species